rnacentral:lncRNA from 1 species
UUUAUUAAAACAAAAAUCACACACACACCCACACAAGGUGUGUGUGUGAUCGAGCAGGAGAAAAGGGGAAGGAGUGUAAACCCUAACCCACAUGAAAUCAUCAAAUUGGAAAAGGAUUUGAGGGUUAAUUGAAUGCAUGAACCAAGAUUUAUGAUCACUCAAGCGUUCUUGACACCAAGAUAGGAAUCCCAAAUUGACAUGGACUCAAGUAUGGAAAGCUAACGGGUCAAGCGGAGGUGAGGAAGCAAGCAUGAACACUAACGCUUAAGGUAAGUGAUUCCGUAAUCACUUCUUAGUUGUUUAUGUAAUGUUAUAUGCAAUUUAAUUAUAUGUGAUAAUUGAGGUCGAAUAGGAAUGAAUUGUAUGAUGUCAAUGAAGUAUUAAACGGAUUUUAGUUUUGAUCCGAGCAAGGUAGGUGUGAUUAAGAAAUUGUAGCUAAGUAGUGGAAUUGAUUACUUAUGUAAGGAAUUCCUUUGUUAUUAAGGAUAGAGCAUAGUUGACUAAAAUGCCCUUGAUAGGUAUAUCGGGCAAACGACCUUAGAAGUCGUUUGGAAACGAGCUAUUCGAUUAGAGUAAUGUCUUGGACAAGUAUGAAAGAGAAGUAUAGGGUUUGGUAUGUCAUAGUCCACUUAAUGCGCAAAUACCCAUAACGGGUCAAAAAUAAGCCUUUGAGCGAAAAUGGGUUAAGAGGAUGCAAGACGUCCGAGAAUUUAAUCGUUUAUGAUAGGUACCAAUGAAAUUAUUAAAGUUCAUAUGAGAUUGAGAUCAAAUAAACAGAUUAUGUUGAUAAAUGCACGAACGGGUC